UUUAAAGUAUUUAUCUAUCUAUUUGCACAUUUCUAUUAGUUGGGUUGUCAAAUUAAUUUAUUUGGUAUCUAUACUCUAUAAUAAUAAAUCCAAUGAGCAAAAAAAAAAAAAAAUAUAAACACAUGCAAUUAAAUAUGCAUGUUUAAGCUAAUUUAUCAUGGUUAAUUUAUUAAUAAUAUUACUUUUUAUGAUGAGUAUACACUCUUAUCGCACCGUCACCUAUAUUAUAAUGUUUACACACAACGGUGUUUUAAUUAAAUUUCAAAAUCCUCGCAAAUUUUCAGUUUCAAUAUUGUCAUACUAUAGGCAUGGUAGUUAAUACAACACAUUUAUCAUGUUGAACACUAAUUAACAUUGUAAUAGUUUAUUUUGAAAUUUCAUAACAAAAUAAAAAACCACAACUAUGUUUGCAAGCACUUAACUACACAAUAACAACGAUGACGUGAAUUUCUAGCACCAGCCCAGAAAUCACUAUUCGACUCAUAAAACUCUUCCAUUUAUCGAAAUGAUAUACACAUUACAUUAUAAGUUAUAACAAUAAUAUUAUCUAACCUACAUCGGUGUGAUUAAUUUUUGUAUUUUUUUUUUUUUUUAUCGUGUUUUAAUUACCUACGCAAUUUUAUUACACAUACAGUCAGUCUUCUGUAACGCGCUACACCGUAUAGGUUUUAUUUGAUUAAAGUAUACAUAAUAUGUGUAUUAUCAUAUUGUACCUUAUGCGUUAAUACAUGCGUAGAUAUAAUAUUUAUAAUUUAUAAACAAAUAAAAUUGUAGUCGACGAUUCGCGGAAAGGAUUUACCUUCGAACCGUCGGCGUGACGUUUGCAGUGGCGCCUAGCUCGUGUAUAAUAUCGUGCAAAAUAUAUUGAAAACAGUAUGAUUUAUAAUAUAAUCGUACAACUAAAACAGUACAUAUUUUGUACAGCGACAAGUCCAAAUUUAUUGGCGCAUUACGCGGUACACGUGGAAUUUCCUUAGGUAGAUGAUUCACGAACGGCUCUGAGCCGCAAAUAUGGUAUGGUAGGUAGUAGGUGUCGUGUCUGAAUGCGAGUGCGCGCACAUUUAUACUGUCUCGCUCUUUCUCCCUCUGUGUUUUUAUAUUAUUAUAUGUUUCGACGACUUGCGCUCCUCUCGCAUUCGCCGCACACGGUGAUAAGUCCAUAAUAACAUAAUAAUAAUAAUAAUAAUAAUAAUAUAACGUCUCCAACUCGCUCGGUCGCCCGCCCGCUGCCAAUCGAAGACGAGGGCCCGAGAUAAGAUUAUUAGUUGUACUAUUUUAUGCUCACGCGGUAAAACAAUAUAAAGAUAUGUAUAUAUAAUAAUUAUAUAGUACCUAAUAAUAUUUAAUAUUAGAACGUUAUCACUGUUGCACAUAUUGUACAGUGUACUCUGUACGGUUAACGAGAUCGUUCACAACAGAGAUAAAUCGCCGUAUAAUAAUAAUAAUAAUAUUAUAAUAAUUAUUAUUAUGGUAACAGGUCUGCUUAGCCGUAUUCAGUCGUACGGUCUCGGCGCGCACACACUUGUUGACCGUCAUCGCGACGACAUCGCCGCGGUCUUUCGUGUCCCUUUUUUUUUUUGUUCUAUACGUGACGUGAUUUUUGGUUUUUUGAUUUUCCCCGAUCGUAUACCAUCAUAGCACCGUCCACCUCAUCCGUUUCGCUGCCGAUCGUCUGUGUAACGGCAUUGUCGCUGUCCGUUGUCGAAUUCACAAUAUUUUACAAAUCGACGAGAAGGCGCCAAACCGUAAUAUAAACAUUAAACACACAAUAAUAUAGUUUUUAAUAACAACCGAUACGAAAAAUAAAAGUGACGUUGCGCAAUCCGGUUGCCGUGCGUGCAGCGCCGCCGCACUAUAACCUUGUACUUGACUCGACUGCAAUACUACAACUACUGUACCAUAUAAUGUACCUACGGAACUAAUACAAUAUUAUUACCACUACUACCACUUAGUACCACUAAUAUCACUAGCCAUACGGUUACUACCGCCACCGCCGUCGUCGUGUGUGUGUGCGUGUUGGCGCUCGCGUGAUAUCAUAAUCGCUGGCAACGGUCUCGCAGCGGUUUUCCAAUUAAUUUUCUCGAAGACGCGUCCGCCGCCGUCGCCACGUGAGUGACGAAAAGUGUGAACAGUUCGCGAGAAAGAAAUUUAUAUAAAAAAAAAAAAACCGAAACGCUGCCGCUCGUCCGGUUCGUCGCGUUGAUCGUCGCGUGGGUGAGACUAGCAGACGACCGACGACCGCCGUCGCCGGCCGCACUUGGCCGCGGACCGCUGCCGCGACAUCAUGUUGGACGUGGUGCGAACGUGUUUCACGUGCACGUCACGGAAAAAACGAUAAAGCAGUAUUUCCAGGUAUUGAAAAUUGAAAUUGAAGCCAAAGCACAAUUUUUGGAAAAGGCUGCACAAAAUAUAGAUGUUGGAAACACACAAUUAGCAAAUUGUUGACGAAAAAUUGAUGUGAUAGUGGAUUAUCAAAGAUGGUGAUUCUGAAUACAAAAACAAAAAAUUUGGGACUCGGCAUAAGAUGUGUAUUGGUCGAAAUUGAACAAAUGUUAGAAAUAGGUAAGCAAUAUCAAUGGUCUCAUUGACUAAUAUUAUAUUUAAUUAUUGAUUGAACAAGAAAAGUUUUUGUUUUGUUUUUUUGAUGUUUUUUAAACUAAACUUUUUUU